AGGGCGGUAGCUCAAAGGUUAGAGCAGGGCGCUCAUAACGCCUUGGUUCCGGGUUCGAGUCCCGGCCGCCCUA
rnacentral:tRNA from 1 species